ACUAGUUUUCACAGUCUCUUUCUUUUAACAAUCUCUAGCUUCUUCUUUUUUUUUAAUCUUAUUUUUCCUUUUUUAUUGUACACAAUGGUAAAGCAGUACUUUCGGUAUGUAAGCUGGAAAAGCCACAUGAAUUUGUUGAAAUCGAAGUGGUAUGCACGGGUUUUUCUUUGCGCCUUUCCAUCUCUCAAGCUGAGGGGUAACUUUUUUUUGCCUCCAGUAAUAUUGUUUGGGGGCUUUCGGCUGGGGAUUUCUUCAUGCCUUUCCAUCUCCCAAGCUGCAAGCUGAUGGGUCAUUUUGUUUUAGCUCCAGUAAUAUGGUUUGGGUUUGGGGGCUUUCAGCUGGGGAUACCAUUGCCUUCUCUAGGCUUCGACUGCUCUACCAGCUGUUGCUGCGCUUGGGUCAAGCUGGUUUGCACUCUUUCUUUUGCUUUUCUUUUGGGUUUUGGGGAUGAUGGGUUUUCUUUUGCUCUGGUUUGGUUUGCUGUGUUUUGCCUCUGGCUGGCUUUCAUCUGGCUCAGGAUGAUUUUGGUUUUGGGCAGUUGUCAAAGUUGGGUCAGAAAAUUGAGGUUGCAUUCUCGGCUUUUCCUCUGGCUUAGCUCUUGGCGUUUGGGAGAAUGGGUUUUCUAUGCAAUGGCUCCUGUUGCAGCGGCUUUGAAUCCAGAUAAGCCUUUGUUUACCAGAUCGGGCCUCGUUUGUAAAGCUCAGUUUGCGUUUGAUUUUCGUAGAUUGCCGAGUUCAUGUUGGAUUAGAAAAAAUGUCAUGCAAUGAUUAUUUCGCAUUAAAUGCGAUGCCCCUUUGGCCGAGAUUUACAAUUCUCGUGUUGAGAGAAAAUAUACUGCUAUCAGCUUAUAGCCUGAGUCGAGUCCUGGCUCCUCAUCGAGAAAAACUAAAUCAUCCACAUUGUUGAGGCUCGAAUCUGUAUAAGGUUCAAGUCAAUAUUUUAGAUCGAAAUUGCAAAGAACCAGCUGAAACUCUGCAAGAUGCAGUGGAGCUCCCAGAAAACAACGAUGUGCGCCAGGAACAUUUUGCUACUUACCAUCUUACCUUGCUGCAACUUUUUGACUGCUGUUGGAUUACAUCUGUUUAUAGAAACUGCUUUUGAAAUUAGAUGUCCUUUGUUACUCUACAUUCCAUUCAGCCUUUUUGUCUUUAUCAAUUCUCAGUUUAAACUAUGUUCUAUGAUGUUGCAGUAAGCUACUGGAAUUACAUUACCUUGCAUAUUUAAUUUAAGUUGACUCUUUGCA